CUCUCCAAGCCAUCUCCUCCACAUUUCAUAAACUAAUUUUUGUAAAAAACCUCUCCACCUCUGACUCUCUAUUCUCGAGUCUUUUGACUCCUCCCUGCAUUGCAAUUCCAUCAACCUUUGGCUUCUCCACAAAAUCAUAUCAAAGACCAAACCUUUAACCCAUCCCACGUAAUCUGACAUGUGAAUGGUGUUUUAUGGCUCACUCUGAUGUCCUGACAUUGCUGUUGGCUGUUGGAGUUUGGUGCUUUGCUUACAUCGCCGUUGCCGUCUUUGCCUCGUUUCGUGUCAUAAGCUAUGUUUGCAGAUGCGCGCUAUGAAUUUGGUGCUGAAUUGGAGAUGGGUUGUGGAGCAUUUGCAAUGCGUACAGUUCUUCUUGGCCCGAGGGGUUUCUCUAUGGAGAAGAUCCGGGAGGAGAUUCGACUAGUCACUAAUGGGAUUGAGAAUAUCACAGUUGCUAAAAGUUUCUUUUGUAAGAUCAUGCGAAGUCUGAUAAUGAAUUAAUUAAAAAUCAGGCAUUCAUGCCAAUGUGAAUAGUUAAUUAAAAAUGAGCUUGUUUUAAUCAA